rnacentral:rRNA from 1 species
UACGGAGGGUGCAAGCGUUAUCCGGAUUCACUGGGUUUAAAGGGUGCGUAGGCGGGCAGGUAAGUCAGUGGUGAAAUCUUUGGGCUUAACCCGAAAACUGCCAUUGAUACUAUCUGUCUUGAAUAUUGUGGAGGUUUGCGGAAUAUGUCAUGUAGCGGUGAAAUGCUUAGAUAUGACAUAGAACACCUAUUGCGAAGGCAGCAAACUACGCAUAUAUUGACGCUGAGGCGCGAAAGCGUGGGGAUCAAACAGG